rnacentral:rRNA from 1 species
ACGGUACUUAUCGUACCUUCUCUUCGGAGCAGGAGUGACAGGUGGUGCAUGGUUGUCGUCAGCUCGUGUCGUGAGAUGUUGGGUUAAGUCCCGCAACGAGCGCAACCCUUAUCUUUAGUAGCCAGCGGUUCGGCCGGGCACUCUAGAGAGACUGCCAGGGAUAACCUGGAGGAAGGCGGGGAUGACGUCAAAUCAUCAUGCCCCUUAUGACUUGGGCUACACACGUGCUACAAUGGCGUAAACAAAGGGAAGCAAAGCUGUGAGGCCGAGCAAAUCUCAAAAAUAACGUCUCAGUUCGGACUGUAGUCUGCAACCCGACUACACGAAGCUGGAAUCGCUAGUAAUCGCAAAUCAGAAUGCUGCGGUGAAUACGUUCCCGGGUCUUGUACACACCGA